rnacentral:rRNA from 1 species
UACAGAGGUCUCAAGCGUUGUUCGGAUUCAUUGGGCGUAAAGGGUGCGUAGGCGGCGCGGUAAGUCGGGUGUGAAAUCUCGGAGCUUAACUCCGAAACUGCACCUCAAACUACAUGGCUAGAGCAUUGGAGAGGGUAGCAGAAUUCGCGGUGUAGCAGUGAAAUGCGUAGAUAUCGUGAGGAAUACCAGAGGCGAAGGCGGCUACCUGGACAAUUGCUGACGCUCAGGCACGAAAGCGUGGGGAGCAAAAGGG